UUUGAGUUUUUUUAUGGGCUCAGGAUGAACGCGGCGGCGUGCUUAACACAUGCAAGUCGAACGGUGAAAGCGGAGCUGCUCUGCUGGAUCAGUGGCGAACGGGUGAGUAACACGUGAGCAAUCUGCCCUUGACUCUGGGAUAAGCGCUGGAAACGGCGUCUAAUACAGGAUACGAGCUGCGAAGGCAUCUUCAGCAGCUGGAAAGAACUUCGGUCAAGGAUGAGCUCGCGGCCUAUCAGCUUGUUGGUGAGGUAACGGCUCACCAAGGCGUCGACGGGUAGCCGGCCUGAGAGGGUGACCGGCCACACUGGGACUGAGACACGGCCCAGACUCCUACGGGAGGCAGCAGUGGGGAAUAUUGCACAAUGGGCGCAAGCCUGAUGCAGCAACGCCGCGUGAGGGACGACGGCCUUCGGGUUGUAAACCUCUUUUAGCAGGGAAGAAGCGAAAGUGACGGUACCUGCAGAAAAAGCACCGGCUAACUACGUGCCAGCAGCCGCGGUAAUACGUAGGGUGCAAGCGUUAUCCGGAAUUAUUGGGCGUAAAGAGCUCGUAGGCGGUUUGUCGCGUCUGCUGUGAAAACUGGAGGCUCAACCUCCAGCCUGCAGUGGGUACGGGCAGACUAGAGUGCGGUAGGGGAGAUUGGAAUUCCUGGUGUAGCGGUGGAAUGCGCAGAUAUCAGGAGGAACACCGAUGGCGAAGGCUAGCAU
rnacentral:rRNA from 1 species